rnacentral:lncRNA from 1 species
UUGCACUCCUCCCAAGUUCUGUAGAUACCCGGACAGAACCCACGACGCACAACAUAAUAGGAAUAUUUACCCAUUCUCUGAAAAGUGGUAAUUAGAUGUUUUCAACAUAAUGAGUUUAUAUAUAUCAGCUUUCAAUUUAUUUUCAGCUUUCAAUUUAUUUAACUAUAUUUUCAGAUUUCAAUUUAACUAUUCUUUCAGAUUUCAAUUUUUAUUUAACUUUAGAUUUUGUUAACAUUAUGAGUUACCAUUACAUCAACUUAUUUCUUAUAAUAUAGUUCUCACAACUAAUCAAGUUACUAGUCUGUACUAUGUGUGUAAUUAAGAAAUAACUAAUACAAUCAUUAGUCUGUAUAUGCGUAGGAAUUAAUAUAAAGUCCUACGAUGUGUGUACAAACUAAUCAGGAUACUAGUAUGUACUAUUAUUUGUGUAAACAAUUAACAAUCUAUAGAUGACAAAAACAAUCUAUAUUAAAAAAAAUUCUUAAAGAAUUAUUAUAUGUUGAAACUUGAAAGCAUGAUUAUAUAAUAAAAACAAUCUAAACUCAAUUCAUAUACAUCACUUAAUUAUUAAAACAUGUCGGUAGAUACCUACUGCAUAUACAGAUACCUACUGCUGACAAAAACAUGUUUUCUAAUCUGCACUAAUACAUGGUAAAAGAAAUAACCAACCUUGAAAAGCAAAUGACGAGAGAAAGUAAAGACGAGUGAAGGGGAGAAAGCGAUGGACAAGAGAAAGCGAAGCUGCCAAAAAACAUUCAUAUAUCACUACUGCAUACAAUUUUUAGAACAAAUAAAAUAAUAAAAAAAAAACUCAAAUCAAAAUCAUACAUUUUUGAGCUGAUGUUUAAACGAUACUGGUCUGCAAAAGAUACUGGUCUGCAAAAGAAAAAUCCGUGCGACAAAAACACACAUAAACAUUCAUCAGAUAUUAUCAACAUAGAAUCUAGACAUUACAUACAAAUAUAGACAAACAAAAGAAUUUUUAGAAAGGUGCAAAAAUGUAGGAGGAUAUACCAGUAAGAAUCAUGAACAAUGUGAUACAGUAUAGGAACAACUACUACCAUGUUGCUACCAAACACUAUGUGCAAAUAUAACAAGAAAAAAAUCUGAGUACAAUUUAAACUUGCUCGGUUAUUCCAUUCUUUGCUGAAUAAGAAAUUAAGCAGGUAGAGAUAUACAUACAGUAACACUAUUAUAUUGGUCAUUGGUGUACGUAAGUGUAGUUGUAUCAAAAUCAAACCAUCAUUCUAGUAUAUAUUAUAGUAGCAGUAGCAGUAGCAGUAGUGGAUUAAAAUAUCUGACGAUUUAUCUAUCUAUCGCAGUACACGGGACAUUUCUGGGCAGUAAUGAACAUUUGUAUUACAUAUGAUGAAAAAAGAUGUUCUCUUGGAUUUUUAUAGUCUCCCUCAUUUGUGCUAAUGAGUCUGGCUGAUUUGUCUGUCAAUCAAUUCACACUGUAAUUUUUUUUCAGUACGUGCUCCUAAAGGUAAGUUGUUUUUUCGCACUUUUGAAUCACAUGUUGAUGUUCUUGUGGAGAGCAACAAUGCACCAAGCUGUCAGUGGUCUAGUAACUGUGCUCGUAAAUUAUUUAAAAGAUUUGUAUAGCCUUCCAAGGUGCUUUUUGCUACCAAUUUAGCUACACACCCCCUCAUUGCCAAUUCCUUUUUCAGUAUAAUUUCAAAUUUAACAUACACCAAUACAUAUAGCUGGAUUGCUACUGUUGAUGAUAAAUUUAGUAGCAAGACCAUCAAUAAUUCUAGUACUUAUUACUAACUACCUUUCACACCAAAACCUAGUUAUCUGCCUAAUCUGAUAAUUUAGGAACUUUAGUUGCAUUACCUCUCAUCAUCUGCAGAAUCCAAAUACAGUAAAUGUUAGGGUCCUGAUCCUGCAAAAAAAUGAAUGAAAUUUCUAAGUUAACAUCAUCAGAACAAAGAGCAUGUCUUGUAAAAGUGUUUAACCUGCCUUAUUGAAAGUAAUUCAAUCACUUCAAUUAUUGCAAAGACGCAAGCAAAUAUCUACCUGACUAACAUUAAUAUAUGUAUAUAUACUCUCAAGAGUCGAGAGUCAAGACUACUACUACAAUGCACACUACACAUUAACACACUCAAUGAUUCAACAACCAAUUACUCUUCCCUCCAACCAGUCAGUUCUAGAUUUCUAGCUCCCAUGUAUGUCAGUUUCUCCCUCAACAUCCCCGCUAUCCAGUAAAAAAUAAUAUGAUGAAUGAGCACAAUAAGACAGCACAACUACAUCAAAAAGAGCACGUGAAAACCACCAAUAUGAUAAACAGGAAAGACAACUUCCACAAUUUGGCCUAAUUUGAGUGUACUUAAGCACAUCAACGUUCAUAGCACUGUGGAAGAUGAUCACAACCAUUAAAAUAAUCUUCUGUUUAAAAUUCAAGGAUGGUUUCAAAUAAGACCAACCACAACUAAUCAAUGUCAGCAAGAUAGCAAAAGGAACUUCACUAAACAAAACUCCCCCGUAAGCUAAAGUGGUAACGAAAAAGCCUUGUGAGUAGCCAAAGUGUUUGAUGAAAAUAUUCCGAACUAGCCCAGUUAAAUGACUCAACACUUUGAUGAUCAAAACUACAAGUAUAGCAAUGUGAAUGCGCAAAAGUUGAUUCCCUUUCAGUUUGAUAUAAUAAACAUGAAUAUUCCAAAGCGAAAAGAAAAUCAAACACAUAUAAAUCAUUAAACACAAAGUGAAUCCUAGGAAGUAAAACCUUGGUCCCGGAUAAAUAAUUCCUCUUAUCAAAUUCAAGAUCAUACAUAGAGCUUUUUACAACCAUGGAAAACCGAAACUCCUUGUUAGAAAGAUAAUUAAUGAAAUAAAGACUGUAGAGUUCUUGUUGUUGUUUUUCUUCUUUAUCUUCAUUGGAGAAAACGAAAUCAAAGUUUUUGGUACCAUUGAUGAGUUUAUGAAAAGAGAAACCUGCUAUAGACUUUUCAAUAAUACUAUAAUCAUCAUAUCUAGUAAAGAGAAAGAAACCAACUGUAGAGAAAUUCAAGUUGAGAUUUGAAUUGGAAAGAUAGAUAUCAGAAACAUUAAUUUCUAUACGACCUCAUUUUCCUCCAUUAGUGAAUUGAAAAGAAUCAAUGAAUAAUAUACUUUAAACAGAAACAUUAUUGUUAAAUAUACUUUAAACAGAUAUCAAUUGAAAAGAAUCAAUGAAUAAUAGAUAUCAGAAACAUUAUUGUUAAAUAUAUUUGAAUUCAUAUCAUAUACACGAAUCUCUGCAAAUGUAAACGUGAAUUGCAUGCAAUUGGAGUGAUUUUAAACAGAAUCUAGGGUUAGGGUUAUAGUCGAUAAUGAUAUAUCAGAAAACCCCAAUCUAGGGUUAGGUUUUUCGAAAAAAAAUUCAAAAUUUUCGAUUCAAACAACAAGUAGAAAACAACAAGUAAAGAAAGAACAACAACAACAACCAAAUCAAACAAAGAAGAGAAGAAGAAGAUGAAGAAGAAGAAGAAGAAGAAGAAGAAGAAGAAAUCUGUUUGAAAAAUACUAACCUCAAAACUUCGAAAAAGUAUAAAGAAGAAGAAGAAGAUGAAUAAUAUGAAGAAGAUAAACAAGAAGAAGGAGAAAUAUACCUGUUUUAGGGUUCGAAAUCGGUGUCGCCAGGUUAAUCGCCUCUACUGCGCCGCCAUCACCUGUUCUAGGGUUUUUUCUUGUUUAAGCUUGGUUGUUUUUGGCAAAGAUGUAAUAUAUACUUGGCAAAUUGUAGAGGGUUAAGUGGCAAAGCAAAUUUUGCCUGGGGGGUACCCAAGCAAA